UAGUGCUUCUGUACUCGAGGGGCCUUUCUCGCUUUUCGACGAGACUGUCCGUCCAGAUCUUCUCCGGCGAACUCCUCAAGACGACUGUCCCGUCGUCUCUUUCCGGCCGUCAUUCUCUCUCUUUCUCUUCGACGGGACGACUGGGCUGUCUUGAAGAAUCUUUCUCUCUCAUUUCGACUCUGGAGUCUUGACAAUCUCUUCGUCUCUGCAAAGUUCAGCCUUCUCUGUUCAAAAGAAAGUCAGUGGAGAAGAAUUUGCAAUUUAUUAUUUGAGGAUAGAGCUUAGACUAAAUUGAAGUGAAGUCGGAGGAAAUUUUGAACUAGACCUUGAAAUGGAAAAGCCUCUGACACCAGGGAAACGGAAACUAUCUGAAAGUGCAGAAGGCAAAGAAGCCCCUAAGCAAGAAUCUGUGUCUAAGCGCCGUAAUUUGGCACGCACAUGCAUCCAUGAAGUUGCAGUUCCUAGCGAGUACAUUUCAUCCAAAGAUGAAUCGACUCAUGGGACACUUUCGAAUCCUGUGUAUAAUGGUAAGAUGGCAAAGAGCUAUCCAUUUAACCUGGACCCAUUUCAGCAAGUGUCCGUGGCAUGCUUGGAAAGAAAUGAGUCAGUUUUGGUUUCUGCACAUACAUCGGCUGGUAAAACUGCAGUUGCGGAAUAUGCGAUUGCAAUGGCUUUUAGAGACAAGCAAAGGGUCAUUUAUACGUCACCACUAAAAGCUUUAAGCAAUCAAAAGUAUAGAGACCUAAGCCAAGAGUUCUCAGAUGUUGGGUUGAUGACAGGUGAUGUUACGCUCUCGCCUAAUGCUAGUUGCUUGGUGAUGACGACAGAGAUUCUAAGGGGAAUGCUUUAUCGAGGUUCUGAGGUUUUGAAGGAAGUUGCUUGGGUUAUCUUUGAUGAAAUACAUUACAUGAAGGAUCGAGAAAGAGGAGUUGUUUGGGAAGAGAGUAUUAUUUUCUUACCUCCAGCGAUUAAGAUGGUUUUCCUUUCUGCAACUAUGUCGAAUGCCACAGAAUUUGCAGAAUGGAUUUGUAAUUUGCACAAACAGCCUUGUCAUGUGGUGUACACAGAUUUUCGACCCACUCCUCUGCAGCAUUAUGUGUUUCCCAUGGGUGGGUCGGGGUUAUAUCUUGUUGUGGAUGAGAAUGAGCAGUUCAGGGAGGAUAAUUUCAUGAAGCUGCAGGAUACAUUCACGAAACAGAAAAUAAGUGAUGGGAAUAGGGCAAAUGGCAAGCCUAGUGGUAGGAUUGCUAAAGGUGGGAUGGCUUCAGGGGGCUCUGACAUUUACAAAAUUGUGAAGAUGAUUAUGGAACGGAAGUUUGAACCAGUCAUCAUUUUUAGUUUCAGUAGAAGAGAGUGUGAACAACAUGCAAUGUCUAUGUCCAAGCUUGAUUUUAAUACCAAAGAAGAGAAGGAUGUCGUGGAGGAGGUUUUCCAAAAUGCAGUACGUUGCUUAAGUGAGGAAGACAGAAAUUUACCUGCUAUUGAGUUGAUGCUGCCACUACUGCAGCGAGGCAUUGCUGUUCAUCAUUCUGGCCUUCUUCCAAUUAUUAAAGAAUUGGUGGAGCUUCUCUUCCAAGAAGGUCUUGUAAAGGCCCUUUUUGCCACAGAGACAUUUGCCAUGGGAUUAAACAUGCCUGCAAAAACUGUUGUUUUCACAGCUGUUAAGAAGUGGGACGGUGACAGCCAUAGGUUUAUUGGAUCUGGUGAGUAUAUCCAGAUGAGUGGAAGAGCUGGGCGUCGUGGCAAAGAUGAGCGUGGCAUUUGUAUCAUAAUGAUUGAUGAGCAGAUGGAGAUGAAUACGCUGAAUGACAUGGUUUUGGGAAAACCAGCUCCUUUAGUCAGUACUUUCAGGCUGAGCUACUACUCACUUUUAAACCUAAUGGCCCGUGCUGAAGGCCAAUUUACAGCUGAGCAUGUUAUCAGAAAUUCAUUCCAUCAAUUUCAAUAUGAGAAGGCUUUACCUGAUAUAGGGAAAAAGGUCUCAAAUCUUGAACAGGAAGCUGCCAUGCUUGAUGCUUCAGGAGAGGCUGUAGUUGCUGAAUAUCAUAAGCUAAGGCUUGAAAUAGCCCAGCUUGAGAAAAAGAUGAUGUUAGAAAUAACAAGGCCUGAAAGAGUUCUUUAUUUUCUUCUUCCUGGUAGGCUGGUUAAGGUAAGGGAAGGUGGAACAGAUUGGGGUUGGGGAGUUGUUGUGAAUGUUGUGAAAAAGCCGGCAGUAGGGUUAGGCACGUUGCCUUCACGUGGUGGUGGCUAUAUAGUGGAUACAUUACUUCAUUGCUCUCCUAAUUCAAAUGAAAAUGGUGCGCGGCCAAAACCUUGUCCGCCCCGUCCUGGAGAAAAGGGCGAAAUGCAUGUGGUCCCUGUUCAACUGUCCCUAAUUUCUGCCCUUAGUAAGCUCAGAAUAUCCAUUCCUUCCGACCUUCGGCCAUUGGAAGCAAGGCAAAGUAUAUUGCUUGCGAUACAGGAGCUAGGAAAUCGUUUUCCCCAAGGUCUUCCAAAGCUUAAUCCUGUAAAGGACAUGGGUAUUGAAGAUCCAGAGUUCGUUGAGUUGGUUAGUCAAAUUGAGGAAUUAGAGCAGAUAUUAUUGGCUCAUCCAGUGCACAAGUCACAAGAUGAACAUCAGAUGAGAUGUUUCCAGAGGAAAGCGGAGGUGAAUCAUGAAAUUCAACAGCUUAAGUCAAAAAUGCGAGAUUCCCAGCUUCAAAAAUUCCGCGAUGAACUUAAGAACCGUUCACGAGUUUUGAGAAAGCUUGGCCAUAUUGAUGCUGAUGGUGUUGUCCAGUUGAAGGGGCGGGCGGCUUGCUUAAUAGACACUGGAGAUGAACUUCUUGUUACUGAAUUGAUGUUCAAUGGUACAUUUAACGAUCUUGAUCAUCACCAAAUUGCGGCUCUGGCAAGUUGCUUCAUUCCAGGAGACAGAUCAAGUGAGCAAAUACAUUUGAGAACUGAGCUUGCUAAACCAUUACAACAGCUCCAAGACAGUGCAAGAAGAAUAGCACAGAUACAACUUGAAUGUAAAUUGGAUAUAAAUGUGGAUGAGUACGUGGAAUCAACAGCGAGACCAUAUUUGAUGGAUGUGAUUUACUGUUGGUCAAGGGGGGCGACUUUCUCAGAGGUUAUACAAAUGACUGAUAUAUUUGAGGGUAGUAUUAUCAGGCUUGCUAGAAGGCUCGAUGAGUUUUUGAACCAGUUGCGUGCUGCUGCUCAUGCUGUUGGAGAAGCUGAUUUGGACAGUAAAUUUGCAGCAGCCAGUGGAAGUCUUCGCAGAGUUUAAUGAAAAAAAGGGUAGCCAGGUAGAGCCAAGUUUCAUUUAUUCACACUGCAAAUUUUAUGAUCAAAUUAUGCCUUGAUUGGCUCGAAGAUGACUGGAAUGGUUGGCGUGCGAUGUGCAAGCUGAACUCCGCGCCCAUUCUCAUCAAUUUUUCCUCCCACCCCGGUGUAAGUCGCAUUUCAAAUUUGUUGCCAAUUUUGCAAUUACAAGUCCCAAGAUCCGCAGUGCGAGGAUGACUCCUCUCCAGGCAACCUCCACUGUCCCCAAAUUGUAGGAAUGGUACCAAGCUUUGCUUCUUCAAGGUUGUGAGGAGCGUUCCUCGCAGAGUGGUCUGUAAAUAUGGUUGCUGAUGCUGGGGGUGCAUUUGUUGCUAUAUGUCCCUUCAACGCCAUGCACUGAGGUAUUGACAGUCGCCCUUGAUUCUUUAGGAAUGGUACCAAGCUUUGCUUCUUCAAGGUUGCGAGGGACCACCGAGCGUUCCUUGAUAAGUGGCCUGUAAAUAUGGUUGCUGAUGCUGGGGGUGGAUUUGUUGCUAUUCGUCCCUUCGACAACGAUGUCGUUGAACAGUUGGAUGGUUAACCAGUUCAAGCAUGGCCGCUCCCGGAGUUGUGUCAACGGUUGCAAACUUGCAAUGGUGAUAACAAAUCACAAUGUAGGCCACAUUCCACUUAUAUCUCCUUUCUUCCCAGCAUUUGGCUUGUGUGCUUACCUCCAUAAUUUUUCUGUACUAGUUUAGCACAAGAAUUUUAACUCAUAAAACUAAAUUUAAAAUUUGUAAUGCACAACUCAAAUACGUGCGAUUUUUUUAAAGCUAAUAUUAAAUAAUAUGAUGUUUUAGUAUUCUUAUAAUAAAAAAGCAUUUCAAAA